rnacentral:rRNA from 1 species
AGAGUUUGAUCCUGGCUCAGGAUGAACGCUGGCGGCGUGCCUAAUACAUGCAAGUCGAACGAGGAGCCUCACAUCUUCGGAUGAGGGGAUUUCCUAGUGGCGGACGGGUGCGUAACACGUGGGUGACCUGCCCCGAAGUGGGGAAUAACUCCGCGAAAGCGGAGCUAAUACCGCAUGUUGUCGCGCGAGUUAGAGGUCGCGCGUCUAAAGAUUUCGGUCGCUUCGGGAGGGGCCCGCGGCCCAUCAGCUAGUUGGUGGGGUAAUGGCUCACCAAGGCUAUGACGGGUAGGGGACCUGAGAGGGUGAUCCCCCACACUGGAACUGAGACACGGUCCAGACACCUACGGGUGGCAGCAGUAGGGAAUAUUGCACAAUGGGCGCAAGCCUGAUGCAGCAACGCCGCGUGCGCGAUGAAGGCCUUCGGGUUGUAAAGCGCUUUUCGGAGGGAUGAAUCAAGACAGUACCUCCAGAACAAGGAUCGGCUAACUACGUGCCAGCAGCCGCGGUAAAACGUAGGAUCCAAGCGUUAUCCGGAAUUACUGGGCGUAAAGGGCGUGUAGGCGGCUUGGCAAGUCGGUCAUGAAAGCUCCCGGCUCAACUGGGAGAGGUUGUCCGAUACUGCCAGGCUAGAGGGCAAGAGAGGGAGGUGGAAUUCCCGGUGUAGUGGUGAAAUGCGUAGAUAUCGGGAGGAACACCAGUGGCGAAGGCGGCCUCCUGGCUUGCGCCUGACGCUGAGACGCGAAAGCGUGGGGAGCGAACGGGAUUAGAAACCCCGGUAGUCCACGCUGUAAACGAUGUCAACUAGGUGUCGGUGGCGUAGAACCCGUCGGUAUCGAAGCUAACGCGUUAAGUUGACCGCCUGGGGACUACGAUCGCAAGAUUAA